rnacentral:rRNA from 1 species
GUCCACGCCGUAAACGAUGAUCACUCGCUGUUAGCGAUACACUGUUAGCGGCUAAGCAAAAGCAUUAAGUGAUCCACCUGGGGAGUACGGCCGCAAGGCUGAAACUCAAAGGAAUUGACGGGGGCCCCGCACAAGCGGAGGAACAUGUGGUUUAAUUCGAUGAUACGCGAGGAACCUUACCUGGGCUUAAAUGUAGAGUGCAUGAGGUGGAAACACUUCUUCCCUUCGGGGCUCUUUACAAGGUGCUGCAUGGUUGUCGU